rfam:Angiostrongylus costaricensis strain Costa Rica genome assembly, scaffold: ACOC_contig0003298
AGCCGGAUGGUCUAGGGGUAUGAUUCUCGCUUUGGGGGCGAGUGGUACCGGGUUCAAAUCCCGGUUCGGCCC